rnacentral:miRNA from 1 species
CGAUUCGAAAAUCCCAGCAUUGAA